GUAGGGAAUAUUGGGCAAUGGAUGCAAGUCUGACCCAGCCAUCCCGCGUGCCGGAAGAAGGCCCUCAGGGUUGUAAACGGCUUUUGACGGUGAAGAAUCGACAGGAUGCGUCCUGUUUUGACGGUAGCCGUUGAAUAAGCACCGGCUAACUCCGUGCCAGCAGCCGCGGUAAUACGGAGGGUGCGAGCGUUGUCCGGAUUUAUUGGGUUUAAAGGGUGCGUAGUCUGGAAGGUCAGUCAGCGGUGAAAAGCUGUCGCUUAACGAUAGUCUUGCCGCAGAUACUUCCUUUCUUGGAUGAGGAGGAGGCCACUGGAACGGAUGGUGUAGCGGUGAAAUGCAUAGAUAUCAUCCAGAACACCGAUUGCGAAGGCAGGUGGCUGUACCUUAAUCGACGCUGAUGCACGAAAGCAUGGGGAGCAAACAGGAUUAGAAACCCGUGUAGUCC
rnacentral:rRNA from 1 species